CACGUAGGGGACGAGCGUUGUCCGGAUUCAUUGGGCGUAAAGCGCGCGUAGGCGGCUCGGCAAGUCGGUCGUGAAAUGCCGGGGCUCAACCCCGGGACUGCGUCCGAUACUCUCGAGCUGGAGGCAGGUAGGGGAGAUCGGAAUUCCUGGUGUAGCGGUGAAAUGCGCAGAUAUCAGGAAGAACACCCGUGGCGAAGGCGGUUCUCUGGGACGGUACUGACGCUGAGACGCGAAAGCGUGGGGAGCGAACAGG
rnacentral:rRNA from 1 species